AAAUUGAAGAGUUUGAUCAUGGCUCAGAUUGAACGCUGGCGGCAGGCUUAACACAUGCAAGUCGAACGGUAACAGGAAUCAGCUUGCUGAUUCGCUGACGAGUGGCGGACGGGUGAGUAAUGUCUGGGAAACUGCCUGAUGGAGGGGGAUAACUACUGGAAACGGUAGCUAAUACCGCAUAACGUCGCAAGACCAAAGAGGGGGACCUUCGGGCCU
rnacentral:rRNA from 2 species